UACGAAGGGGGCGAGCGUUGUUCGGAAUUACUGGGCGUAAAGGGCGCGUAGGCGGUCCUUCAAGUCAGGCGUGAAAGCCCCGGGCUCAACCUGGGAACCGCGCUUGAUACUGGAGAGCUUGAGUCCGGAAGAGGUGAGUGGAACUCCGAGUGUAGAGGUGAAAUUCGUAGAUAUUCGGAAGAACACCAGUGGCGAAGGCGGCUCACUGGUCCGGUACUGACGCUGAGGUGCGAAAGCGUGGGGAGCAAACAGG
rnacentral:rRNA from 1 species